rnacentral:rRNA from 1 species
AAAAGUCGUAACAAGGUCUCCGUAGGUGAACCUGCGGAGGGAUCAUUACACAAAUAUGAAGGCGGGCUGGAACCUCUCGGGGUUACAGCCUUGCUGAAUUAUUCACCCUUGUCUUUUGCGUACUUCUUGUUUCCUUGGUGGGUUCGCCCACCACUAGGACAAACAUAAACCUUUUGUAAUUGCAAUCAGCGUCAGUAACAAAUUAAUAAUUACAACUUUCAACAACGGAUCUCUUGGUUCUGGCAUCGAUGAAGAACGCAGCGAAAUGCGAUAAGUAGUGUGAAUUGCAGAAUUCAGUGAAUCAUCGAAUCUUUGAACGCACAUUGCGCCCUUUGGUAUUCCAAAGGGCAUGCCUGUUCGAGCGUCAUUUGUACCCUCAAGCUUUGCUUGGUGUUGGGCGUCUUGUCUCUAGCUUUGCUGGAGACUCGCCUUAAAGUAAUUGGCAGCCGGCCUACUGGUUUCGGAGCGCAGCACAAGUCGCACUCUCUAUCAGCAAAGGUCUAGCAUCCAUUAAGCCUUUUUUUCAACUUUUGACCUCGGAUCAGGUAGGGAUACCCGCUGAACUUAAG